rnacentral:rRNA from 1 species
CACGUAGGGCGCAAGCGUUGUCCGGAAUUAUUGGGCGUAAAGAGCUCGUAGGUGGUUUGUUACGUCUGCUGUGAAAACCUAGGGCUUAACCCUGGGCUUGCAGUGGAUACGGGCAGACUAGAGGUAGGUAGGGGAGAAUGGAAUUCCUGGUGUAGCGGUGAAAUGCGCAGAUAUCAGGAGGAACACCGGUGGCGAAGGCGGGUCUCUGGGCAGUAACUGACGCUGAGGAACGAAAGCGUGGGUAGCAAACAGG